rnacentral:rRNA from 1 species
ACCUGCGGAGGGAUCAUUACCGAGUUUACAACUCCCAAACCCAAUGUGAACCAUACCAAACUGUUGCCUCGGCGGGGUCACGCCCCGGGUGCGUCGCAGCCCCGGAACCAGGCGCCCGCCGGAGGGACCAACCAAACUCUUUUCUGUAGUCCCCUCGCGGACGUUAUUUCUUACAGCUCUGAGCAAAAAUUCAAAAUGAAUCAAAACUUUCAACAACGGAUCUCUUGGUUCUGGCAUCGAUGAAGAACGCAGCGAAAUGCGAUAAGUAAUGUGAAUUGCAGAAUUCAGUGAAUCAUCGAAUCUUUGAACGCACAUUGCGCCCGCCAGUAUUCUGGCGGGCAUGCCUGUCCGAGCGUCAUUUCAACCCUCGAACCCCUCCGGGGGGUCGGCGUUGGGGACCUCGGGAGCCCCUAAGACGGGAUCCCGGCCCCGAAAUACAGUGGCGGUCUCGCCGCAGCCUCUCCUGCGCAGUAGUUUGCACAACUCGCACCGGGAGCGCGGCGCGUCCACGUCCGUAAAACACCCAACUUCUGAAAUGUUGACCUCGGAUCAGGUAGGAAUACCCGCUGAACUUAAGCAUAUCAAUA